rnacentral:rRNA from 1 species
CCUACGGGGGGCAGCAGUGGGGAAUAUUGGACAAUGGGCGAAAGCCUGAUCCAGCCAUGCCGCGUGUGUGAAGAAGGCCUUCGGGUUGUAAAGCACUUUCAGUGGGGAAGAAAGCCUUGGGGCUAAUACCCUCGAGGAAGGACAUCACCCACAGAAGAAGCACCGGCUAACUCCGUGCCAGCAGCCGCGGUAAUACGGAGGGUGCGAGCGUUAAUCGGAAUUACUGGGCGUAAAGCGCGCGUAGGCGGUCUGAUAAGCCGGUUGUGAAAGCCCCGGGCUCAACCUGGGAACGGCAUCCGGAACUGUCAGGCUAGAGUGCAGGAGAGGAAGGUAGAAUUCCCGGUGUAGCGGUGAAAUGCGUAGAGAUCGGGAGGAAUACCAGUGGCGAAGGCGGCUUUCUGGACUGACACUGACGCUGAGGUGCGAAAGCGUGGGUAGCAAACAGGAUUAGAUACACCAGUAGUCC